UACAUAGGUCCCGAGCGUUGUUCGGAUUCACUGGGCGUAAAGGGUGCGUAGGUGGUGGGGUAAGUCGGAUGUGAAAUCUCGGAGCUCAACUCCGAAAUGGCAUUGGAAACUACCCUGCUGGAGGUUUGGAGGGGGGACUGGAAUACUUGGUGUAGCAGUGAAAUGCGUAGAUAUCAAGUGGAACACCAGUGGCGAAGGCGAGUCCCUGGACAAAACCUGACACUGAGGCACGAAAGCUAGGGGAGCAAACAGG
rnacentral:rRNA from 1 species